rnacentral:tRNA from 4 species
AAGAAAGUGGCAGAGCGGUUAUGUAGUUGGCUUGAAACCAUCUUACGGGGGUUCAACUCCUCCCUUUCUCG